CACACUCUGUCCUUUCCCGGUGUUUCCAUGCGGUCCCUCUGCGUGUGCCUGUGUUUUACCCCCGCUCUAACAAGGUCACCAGCUAGAUAGGAUCGGGGCCACCCUAGUGACCUCAUUUAACCUCCGUCUCCCGUCUAAAGACGCCGUCCGCAAAUACAGUCCCAGUCACAAGUGCUGGUGCUCAGGGCUCGAACAGGGGAGCCCGGGGCGGGGGGGGGGGGGUGGGGGGCGCCGCUCAGCCGCAGGAGCCCGUGGCGCUGUCCCAGGGCGGUGCCUGCCUCUCGCCUGGAGAACAAGAAGGGGUUCCCUGCACACCGUGCUCUGCUGGGAGAGCGCGGUUCUGGGUCAGAGGAUGGAGCACCAACAGACCUUGCAAGGGGAGGCGCAGGCAGGAAAGCGUCCCGGGCUCUCGGUUGAGGAAUGGUCUCAGACCCAGCUGCCUGCCGCACACCGGGGCCCCUGCCAAACACCCAUGGUUCACAAGGUGAGGGGAUCCAGGGGAGGGAAGCGAGUGGAGUGACAGGUGGGCGAGGGGCCCGUGGCGUUCUGCUGUGCAGAACGUGGUGCGAACACACAGAAAGCAGGUGGAGGAUAGAAAAGGGGGCAAAACUCUUCGCGUCCCUCAGUUUGCAGAGCUGUUUGCCUCAGUCCGUCCUCCCCCAGCUGGUGAGUCGCGGGGCGGGCUGCAUCCGGUCCAGCGGGACGAAGAAGGAAGCGGGAUGAGCGAGGUGUGGUCUAGAGCCCCGUGCACGUGGGCCGGCGGUGACCUUUGAGUCCCACGUGGUCCCCAGUCCCUCCGGGAGCCAGCAGGGAGCCAGUUUGUCCUCCGGGGCCGCAGGCACACUGGUAAGUGGGGACUUCCACACCAGGGGAGCGCAGUCUGACGGCCUGGCUGCAGGCUGAGGUCAAAGCCGUGACUUAGUGGCUGGAGGCCCGUGUCUGAGCGGGGCUCUGCUCUGCUAACCCCCAAGUCCCCUCGCUGCUCUCAUUCUGUUCUCGUUCCCAGAAGGAAGGGGCUGGGCCAGUCGGUGCCCGAGGGCCUCACAGGCCAUGGAAACUUCUGAUUUGUCCUUCCCCCCCACCGGCCUCUCCUCCUGGUGCACACACGUUCCCAGCUUAGGGACAGCUGGCUGCCCUGGCUUCCCCCCCUCCCUGCCCGUUCCUCACCCUCCACCGGCCUCUCCUCACCUCUGGGACUAGCGCUUUGGCCGGCCGGCCCCCCCCCCCCCCAUCUCCCCGGUUGUGGUGUCGCUCGGACGGGGGCUCCAGGCCCUCCCUCCAGCUCACGCCCAGCCCAAACCCGCCGACCCUCUGUGUAUGCUACCACCUGUCCCAGAGCCCUUGGCUUUGUGCCGGGAACCGAGCUCCCGACCUUCCCGCCUCCCCGGUGGGGCCGCCUGCCUCAUCCUUCUGGAGCCUCAGCCCCUGCGGUGACCCCGACUCCUCUCUGUCUGUCACACGGAACCCGGCGGGACGGGCUUCACCCCAUGACCACCCUGGCCGGCUGGGCCCACCGCUGCCUCCAGCCGCAGCCCCUUUCACCGUGCUCUGCGCUGCACACGGCAGAGGGAGUCUCCCCGAAAAGAGGAGUCGGUGAUACAUCGACGCUUCACGUCCCCAGGUGGUCUGCACUUGGUGUCAACACCCAGCCCCUUGGAGUGGCCCGGAGCCCCUAACGCUGCGGCCCGCCUUCUUCCCUGACCCCGCCCCCGAGCUCGCGCCCCAGCCCACUUUCGGGGCGUCCACGUGCCUGGCCAUCUGCGGGUAGCCCCGCCCCCAGAUGUGUCCGCAGCUCUGUCCCCCGCCCCCCCAGGCUUCCCCCCGGGGGACACUGCCAGUGCCCGUUCUGGCGGGUCUCACACCUCAGGCCGGCCCGUGCACCCCUGGUCCUCACCCCUCUACAGCGUCUCCACAGCACGCGUUACCUCGGCACAAACACUGUAGUUUUCCCGUUCGUCUGGUCUGUGCUGUGUAUCACAAACCACACAGGGCAGAGUCUUGUCAUGACCACUCACGAAUCAGACACGAGGAAAAUAUCCUGGGCUCUCGGGUUGGCUGGUGACGUCGGGUGUGGUGACGGGGCAGCGACCACAGCAGGAGGAUGAGGUGUAACAGCUGUCUCCUCAAAGGCUUGCUGUGGAUAUUGUACGAGGUCACCGGCGAAGCGGGCGGAGGGCUACCCACGGCCAGUGCCCAGUGAGGGUCGGUGCUCACGUUAUCCGGGGGUGUGAAUCGCUGGGAUCAACUCAGAGCCACAAGCAGAUGCUACUGAAGGUCACGGUUGAUUCCUCUGAGCAAAUCCGGUGGUGUUCCUUCCCUGAAGGACGCAAAACCUCAGUGUGGACAGCAACCCACGAAGCCCCUCGGUCGCUUCUCUGGCCCCUCCCCUUGCGUGGCGUCCGUCCGGAGGACAGUUCCCACGGGGAAGAGAAACCACCCAGAGGGGACUCAGGUCACAGUUGGAGGCUGGCCUGCACUUGGGGCCACUUGUCGGUCAGCUGCACGGAGACAGCUCCUCCCUCACUUCUGGGGCGGUGACAGCGCCCAGCGCUCACUGGCCUCCCUCCUGGAGGACGACGAGUGUCCGCAUCCCGCGGCAGCUGCAGGCGCUAACAAAGCAAUCCGAGGUGACCCGGAUCUUGGUCCUUUGAAGACUUGGUGUGUUCUCUUGUGUGUUUGUUUUAAAGUUUAUUUUUAUUUAUUUUGAGAGACAGCUGGACAGCAAGCAGG